CUCCUAAGGCUGCUAAUCUAUCAGUGGUAAACUAUUUCUUUUUUGUUUCAGAGUUUGACCAUGUCCUGAACUGGUGAGAGACACCUUCUGUGACUUUCAGUCAGAUCAGCCAUCAGAUCCCAGCAAACAUGACCCUCUCAGCCUACAAGGAGAAGAUGGAGGAGCUCCCACUAGUGUCCCUGUUCUUCUCCUGCUUCUUGGCUGACCUUCUGAAUAAGUCAU
rnacentral:lncRNA from 1 species